rnacentral:rRNA from 1 species
AUUGAACGCUGGCGGCAGGCCUAACACAUGCAAGUCGAACGAGUGGCGGACGGGUGAGUAAUGUCUGGGAAACUGCCCGAUGGAGGGGGAUAACUCCUGGAAACGGUAGCUAAUACCGCAUACCAUCGGAUGUGCCCAGAUGGGAUUAGCUAGUAGGGGGGGUAACGGCUCACCUAGGCGACGAUCCCUAGCGGGUCUGAGAGGAUGACCAGCCACACGGGAACUGAGACACGGGCCAGACUCCUAGGGGAGGCAGCAGUGGGGAAUAUUGCACAAUGGGCGCAAGCCUGAUGCAGCCAUGGCGCGUCUAUGAAGAAGGCCUUCGGGUUGUAAAGUACUUUCAGCGAGGAGGCGUUACUCGGAGAAGAAGCACCGGCUAACUCCGUGCCAGCAGCCGCGGUAAUAC